rnacentral:lncRNA from 1 species
ACAAGUUUAAAGCUUUGGUUUUGAACUUGAAUUUGAAAUUUGUAUAAGGAUUUGUGAUGAAUGUAUUAAAACUUAUUAACAAUCGACAAAAAGCUGAAUCUAUAGUUAGGACAGAAGGUGCUUGUGGUGGAAGGAUUGGUGAUAGUAUGGUGGUGGUGGUGGAGAAGAUGAUAGGGUGAUGCUUCAAGGUAUACUUCUUCUAUAUACUCUCUUGUGAUGAACAUAAUAACGGAAAAAGUGAUUGUGUGAUUGAUGAUGAACCGCUAGUAAUAUUCUUAAUUUUUUUUUAUUUUAACGAAGACAAUCUCCCUGUAAGCUGCAAUGGUGGUUUGGGGGAUUGGGGCUCUUGACUUACCCAAACUCACCUAGAGACAAAACGGAAUGACUUGCGGAAAUUUAACAAAGAUUAUCCUAGAGAAUCAAUUUAUUAAGGUGUCGCCUCUUUCUCUAGAAUAAAACAACAACCCAGUAUAAUCCCACUUAGUGGGGUCUGGGG